GUUCUAUUGAUAGAUAGGAAAGAAUAUCCAAAGUUAUAAUUUGUAAUUGGAACUCUAUUGAUAUUUAUAUUAUUAUUCUAUGAAGUUUUUAUACUUAAGUGCUGCUAUGAAUUGCUUAGCCAUGUCUGAGUAGUUCUCUUGUUAGAUUUUAGGGUUUAAAUAGGUUAGGAGGGAUUAGCCCCAACUAUAUAUUUCUGAGUUGUGAUAAUCAUCUUUAGGAUUGUUCAUUAAUGCAUGUGUCUAGAUUAGCUACCUAGAACAUGCCCUUGGAUUGAUUGAUAAAAGUAAUAGUUUAAUUCUCAUCCUGAAAACAUUCUAAUAGAGCUAUGUUUC
rnacentral:lncRNA from 1 species